AUACUGUGAGCUCGAUGAGUAGGGCGGGACACGUGGUAUCCUGUCUGAAUAUGGGGGGACCAUCCUCCAAGGCUAAAUACUCCUGACUGACCGAUAGUGAACCAGUACCGUGAGGGAAAGGCGAAAAGAACCCCGGCGAGGGGAGUGAAAAAGAACCUGAAACCGUGUACGUACAAGCAGUGGGAGCACGCUUAGGCGUGUGACUGCGUACCUUUUGUAUAAUGGGUCAGCGACUUAUAUUCUGUAGCAAGGUUAACCGAAUAGGGGAGCCGAAGGGAAACCGAGUCUUAACUGGGCGUUAAGUUGCAGGGUAUAGACCCGAAACCCGGUGAUCUAGCCAUGGGCAGGUUGAAGGUUGGGUAACACUAACUGGAGGACCGAACCGACUAAUGUUGAAAAAUUAGCGGAUGACUUGUGGCUGGGGGUGAAAGGCCAAUCAAACCGGGAGAUAGCUGGUUCUCCCCGAAAGCUAUUUAGGUAGCGCCUCGUGAAUUCAUCUCCGGGGGUAGAGCACUGUUUCGGCAAGGGGGUCAUCCCGACUUACCAACCCGAUGCAAACUGCGAAUACCGGAGAAUGUUAUCACGGGAGACACACGGCGGGUGCUAACGUCCGUCGUGAAGAGGGAAACAACCCAGACCGCCAGCUAAGGUCCCAAAGUCAUGGUUAAGUGGGAAACGAUGUGGGAAGGCCCAGACAGCCAGGAUGUUGGCUUAGAAGCAGCCAUCAUUUAAAGAAAGCGUAAUAGCUCACUGGUCGAGUCGGCCUGCGCGGAAGAUGUAACGGGGCUAAACCAUGCACCGAAGCUGCGGCAGCGACGCUGAUGCGUUGUUGGGUAGGGGAGCGUUCUGUAAGCCUGUGAAGGUGUGCUGUGAGGCAUGCUGGAGGUAUCAGAAGUGCGAAUGCUGACAUAAGUAACGAUAAAGCGGGUGAAAAGCCCGCUCGCCGGAAGACCAAGGGUUCCUGUCCAACGUUAAUCGGGGCAGGGUGAGUCGACCCCUAAGGCGAGGCCGAAAGGCGUAGUCGAUGGGAAACAGGUUAAUAUUCCUGUACUUGGUGUUACUGCGAAGGGGGGACGGAGAAGGCUAUGUUGGCCGGGCGACGGUUGUCCCGGUUUAAGCGUGUAGGCUGGUUUUCCAGGCAAAUCCGGAAAAUCAAGGCUGAGGCGUGAUGACGAGGCACUACGGUGCUGAAGCAACAAAUGCCCUGCUUCCAGGAAAAGCCUCUAAGCAUCAGGUAACAUCAAAUCGUACCCCAAACCGACACAGGUGGUCAGGUAGAGAAUACCAAGGCGCUUGAGAGAACUCGGGUGAAGGAACUAGGCAAAAUGGUGCCGUAACUUCGGGAGAAGGCACGCUGAUAUGUAGGUGAAGCGACUUGCUCGUGGAGCUGAAAUCAGUCGAAGAUACCAGCUGGCUGCAACUGUUUAUUAAAAACACAGCACUGUGCAAACACGAAAGUGGACGUAUACGGUGUGACGCCUGCCCGGUGCCGGAAGGUUAAUUGAUGGGGUCAGCGCAAGCGAAGCUCUUGAUCGAAGCCCCGGUAAACGGCGGCCGUAACUAUAACGGUCCUAAGGUAGCGAAAUUCCUUGUCGGGUAAGUUCCGACCUGCACGAAUGGCGUAAUGAUGGCCAGGCUGUCUCCACCCGAGACUCAGUGAAAUUGAACUCGCUGUGAAGAUGCAGUGUACCCGCGGCAAGACGGAAAGACCCCGUGAACCUUUACUAUAGCUUGACACUGAACAUUGAGCCUUGAUGUGUAGGAUAGGUGGGAGGCUUUGAAGUGUGG
rnacentral:rRNA from 1 species